AUUGAACGCUGGCGGCAUGCCUUACACAUGCAAGUCGAACGGAAACGGGCCUUCGGUUGCCGUCUAGUGGCGAACGGGGGAGUAAUACAUCGAAACGUGCCCGAUCGUGGGGGAUAACGAGUCGAAAGCUUUGCUAAUACCGCAUACGAUCUACGGAUGAAAGCAGGGGAGCUCAAGGCCUUGCGCGGACUGAGCGGCCGAUGGCAGAUUAGGUAGUUGGUGGGAUAAAAGCUUACCAAGCCGACGAUCUGUAGCUGGUCUGAGAGGAUGAUCAGCCACACUGGAACUGAGACACGGUCCAGACUCCUACGGGAGGCAGCAGUGGGGAAUUUUGGACAAUGGGCGAAAGCCUGAUCCAGCCAUGCCGCGUGCAUGAUGAAGGUCUUCGGGUUGUAAACUGCUUUUGUACGGAACGAAAAGCAUUCUUUUAAUACAGGAGGGUCAUGACGGUACCGUAAGAAUAAGCACCGGCUAACUACGUG
rnacentral:rRNA from 1 species